CCUCACUGAAAAUGCCCAGUUCACAGCCUGAUAUUCUUUGAGCGUUUUUCCAUUCAAGUCCCAGUUAAGUGAUCACUCCUGGGUCUCCAACUGGUUUCGGUCCCGAAGCUGUGUUUGCAGAGAUGGAAGGAUGCUUGUUGAAGUCGGGACGUCCAAGGGCCACAUAAGUGAGGAUCUAAUUGCCGUGCCUUGUCUCAAGGAGUCUUGAGUUCAUGAUGUCUUAUAUUUCUUCAUUACUUCCCAAAGCAAAACUUUGUACAUCUAGACAUAUACGACAAGUUUGUUUUUUAUGAUUGUUUUAGUUUGUCUUGGCAAUUGACGUGGGAAGUUGUAACUUGACUCCAUCGACUGGCCCUUAAUUUCUGCAGUUCUCUCAGUUCUGGGAUUCAACACAGGACCAGCUUCCCCCUCAAGACAUUUGCUGAAUUCUGAAGCAGUCCUUUUUGGUGGCUGAGCUUGGUGAGGUGUGUUUUUAAAAGACCUUUAGUCCAUUCUACUUUUCUUGAAGACGGAGGACCAUAAGGGAUAUAAAGGUUUCACUGAAUACUAAGAGCCUGGAUUUUUAUAUUUGAUGAAAAAGAGCCUAAACGCUUCUGAUUUGGGAUAAAGAAAAAGGAGCAUUAACCUUGACUAUGAGAAAAGGAAGAUUAGAAAGACUCAGUGACGCUUGGGGUUGGUACUGAGGUGGAAUGUUCCCAUAGUGAAGGAAGCAAGCCUAGAGAGAAGAGAGAGUAGAGAAAUGGAGGGAAGGGAUUCAGGGGUUCUUACCUUCCAGAAAAGUGGGAAAAGGGGUUUGGGUGCAGAGAUAAGAAGUCAGGGCAUGGAAAUAAGGGAUGGGGCACAGAAAU
rnacentral:lncRNA from 1 species